UACAGAGGUCCCAAGCGUUGUUCGGAUUCAUUGGGCGUAAAGGGUGCGUAGGCGGCGCGGUAAGUCGGGUGUGAAAUCUCGGGGCUUAAACUCCGAAACGUGCAUUCGACUAACUGCCGUGCUUGAGGACUGGAGAGAGACUGGAAUUUACGGUGUAGCGGUGAAAUGCGUAGAUAUCGUAAGGAAGACCAGUGGCGAAGGCGG
rnacentral:rRNA from 1 species